GGACUACAGGGGUAUCUAAUCCCGUUUGCUCCCCUAGCUUUCGCGCCUCAGCGUCAGUAUUGGGCCAGAUGAGCGCCUUCGCCACCGGUGUUCCUCCUGAUAUCUACGCAUUUCACCGCUACACCAGGAAUUCCCUCAUCCUCUCCCAUACUCAAGCCAAGCAGUUUGGAAUGCAGAUCCUCGGGUAAGCCGAGGGAUUUCACAUCCCACUUACCUGACCGCCUACACGCCCUUUACGCCCAGUGAUUCCGAACAACGCUUGCUCCCCCCGUGUUACCGCGGCUGCUGGCAC
rnacentral:rRNA from 1 species